rnacentral:lncRNA from 1 species
UUUGAAUAGUAUUAGUUAAAUAUGUGAAAUUAUAAAUAUUAAGAUUCCUUACCACCGUCAUCUUUCAUAGACUGAAUAAAACUCCCCAUCUUGCAACCUUCUUUGUUCAGUUAAUAUAGAACAGUAUUUGAAAUUUGAAUUUGACCUCAACCGGAAGUCAGAGAGAUAGAUAAACAAAGAAACCUGGAAUGCAUUAACAUUUUAUUCAUUGUAGCAAAUCAUCAAUGAAUCACACCAAGAUAGCUAAGAAAGUAAACAAAUCAUUUUCAAAUCAUUUCAUAUGAUAUUCAAAGUUAACAAAUCAUAACGAAAUCACAC